UCCUCCGCUUAUUGAUAUGCUUAAGUUCAGCGGGGUUUCCCCCCCCCAUUCGCGGGGAGAGGGACUCGUCCCGCUCCCGUGACCGGAAACAACGAACCCCCGGCGUGGACUGCGCCUAGGAAAUCUUCAGAGAGAGCACGCUCCCGCGGCCCCGGAGACGGUGCGCCGCGGCAUGCGGCCCAUUGUUUCACACGUAUCCAAAACGACUCUCGGCAACGGAUAUCUCGGCUCUCGCAUCGAUGAAGACAGUAGCGAAAUGCGAUAUGCCAAAGAAUUGCAGAAUCCCGUGAACCAUCGAGUCUUCGAAGGCAAUUUGCGCCCCACGCCAUUAGGCCCAGGGCACGUCUGUCUUGGUGUCACGCAUAGUCGCCCCACCCCACCCCCCCAAACCAAGGCGGGGGCCCCGGGGUGCGGGCGGAGAUUGGCCUCCCGUGCGCUGACCGCUCGCGGUUGGCCCAAAUUUGAGUCCUCGGCGACCGAAGCCGCGGCGAUCGGUGGUGAAACAAAAGCCUCUUGAGCUCCCGCCGCGCGCCCGGUCUCCGAGUGGGGACUCUGCGGCCCGAAGCUCCGCGCAAGCGGCGCUGGCAUUGCGACCCCAGGUCAGGCGGGAUUACCCGUAGAGAUUAAGCAUAUCAAUAAGCGGAGGA
rnacentral:rRNA from 1 species